rnacentral:tRNA from 1 species
GCCUGGCUAGCUCAGUCAGCAGAGCAUGUGACUCUCAAUCUCAGGGUAGUGAGUUCAAGCCCCACACUGGGUG